rnacentral:rRNA from 1 species
GACGGAGGAUGCAAGCGUUAUCCGGAAUGAUUGGGCGUAAAGCGUCUGCAGGUGGCAGUUCAAGUCUGCUGUCAAAGACCGGGGCUUAACUUCGGAAAGGCAGUGGAAACUGAACAGCUAGAGUACGGUAGGGGCAGAGGGAAUUCCUGGUGUAGCGGUGAAAUGCGUAGAGAUCAGGAAGAACAUCGGUGGCGAAGGCGCUCUGCUGGACCAUAACUGACACUCAGGGACGAAAGCUAGGGGAGCGAAUGGG